AAGCCCCUUAAAUGUUGGGGGCCGCACGCGCGCUACACUGACCGGAUCAGCGUGUGCUCUCCUUGGCCGACAGGUCCGGGAAACCCCGUUGAACCCCCGGUCGUGCUAGGGAUAGGGAAUUGCAAUUAUUUCCCUUGAACGAGGAAUUCCCAGUAAGCGCGAGUCAUUAGCUCGCGUUGAUUACGUCCCUGCCCUUUGUACACACCGCCCGUCGCUACUACCGAUUGAAUGGUUUAGUGAGGUCCUCCGAUUGGACCCGGUCCGGGCGGCGACGUCCGAGCCGGCGUCCGAGAAGACGAUCUAACUUGAUCAUUUAGAGGAAGUAAAAGUCGUAACAAGGUUUCCGUAGGUGAACCUGCGGAAGGAUCAUUA
rnacentral:ncRNA from 1 species